UGUUUCUAUAUUGUGAAUCUUGAUAUAUGCCUUUGGCCAAUGAUAAGAAAGGGUAGAAUUGGGUUUUGUUUUAUCUCACUCUUCGUUCAACCUCCUUAAUCAUUUGCAUUUGAAUAUUCUGAUUGUGAUCUUCUGGAAUCUUAAUAAAUGAACCAAUUAUUUUUGUAUGUUUUUCAAUAUGAACCCUUCUGACCAGCCUGCCUUGCACCUUUACAUAUAUGAAAUAAUCAGCUAGUCGGUGUUUGGGCUAGUGGUCGGAAUUUGUAUUUCAAACCUAUUUAGUAUGUUUCAACUUUCAAAUAAUCUUGAUGAAUUCAGUUAAACCUGUUUUAUUGAUUUUUCCAAUACACAGUAAAGUGGCUUCAUCUUCACGUGCAUUUUGAUGUUGAUUACGGAUAAAAUUAGUCUUCUUGACAUGCCGUGAUGCUCUUAUGUAAUGAAACAUAUAUCAAGAUAUAGAAAUCUAAGAUUGCUUGGGAAACUUGGUUUACUACUAAUGGUGUAGAAAUUUUUGUUUGAAUAAAACUAUGAAGUGUUCCUUUUUUCUUAUAUGACAUACGUUGAUGACCCACUUCUUGGACCACUAAUUUGAAAAACUGGAAUGAGUGAAUGACAUGCCCACUUUAUCCCAAAUUUAUGUUUUCAGGAAAAACAAAGCAAGAGUAUCUGAAUCUCAACAUAUAACGAACUUGGUAAAAGAAGGCCUUGGAGAGAAUACAAUAACAAAUUUUACUUGGCAUACCAAAGUUGGCUUUCGAAAUUGUUUAUUCAAAGAUCAAAGUAUUAUUUAUUUAUUAAUUGCAAAUAUACAUUCUGAGUGAA